rnacentral:rRNA from 1 species
GAUGAACGCUGGCGGCGUGCCUAAUACAUGCAAGUCGAGCGAACAGACGAGGAGCUUGCUCCUCUGACGUUAGCGGCGGACGGGUGAGUAACACGUGGAUAACCUACCUAUAAGACUGGGAUAACUUCGGGAAACCGGAGCUAAUACCGGAUAAUAUAUUGAACCGCAUGGUUCAAUAGUGAAAGACGGUUUUGCUGUCACUUAUAGAUGGAUCCGCGCCGCAUUAGCUAGUUGGUAAGGUAACGGCUACCAAGGCAACGAUGCGUAGCCGACCUGAGAGGGUGAUCGGCCACACUGGAACUGAGACACGGUCCAGACUCCUACGGGAGGCAGCAGUAGGGAAUCUUCCGCAAUGGGCGAAAGCCUGACGGAGCAACGCCGCGUGAGUGAUGAAGGUCUUCGGAUCGUAAAACUCUGUUAUUAGGGAAGAACAAAUGUGUAAGUAACUAUGCACGUCUUAACGGUACCUAAUCAGAAAGCCACGGCUAACUACGUG